rnacentral:sRNA from 1 species
UGGUAGUGUAUUUACAGGAGAACUUGUGCACGUACAAAUAAUAACAUGUACUAUACUAUAUAUACACGUUGAGAAAACAGAACAAAAGACUAACAAUUAUGUAAUACAGUUGUCUCUUAAUAGCAUACUUUUAGAGAUGAAUUUACCAAGAUUACAGAGAUCUUUAACAUUUUCAGUUUUAAAAAAAACAUAGAAGGUUUUUUUAUAAUAAUAUUCUUUCAUGUAUCAUAAGAAUCUGCGCAAUGUUAAUGUAUAAAGGACAAAGAAAUAAAAAAUGGAAUUCAUCUUCAACACUAGUUUUGCAAUGUGGACAUAAUCUAUUUUGUCUAUUUGUGUUAUUAUAUCUACCAGUUCAAUAGCCAGGCGAUGUGAUGAUAAUCGUAAUUUAGUUAUAUAUUUCUGUAAUUUAAUGGGAAUAGGUUUUCUUAAAUAGUAUUUAAGAUGUAUACCAUCGAAAAGAUAUUUGUAAAAAGAACACUUUUUUGAAUUUUCAACAUUUGCAAAAAUAUCUUGUUUGGCCUGAUCAAAAAUUCUUUGUUUUACAAGUUGUAAAAUACCAUUGUUUUUUUUGGUUAGUCCAUAAAUAAAAGAAACCGAGGUCAAUGAGAACUUUCUUUACAUCGAAAACCCAGUUUUAAUAACCGUGUUUUUCACAAUUAAUGUACAUAACUUCGUAACAAUGUCUAACUAUACAAUAAAUUAUUGUAUAAUUAGACAUUGUUACCGUCAUUAUUGUCACUGAUUAAGACAUUUUUCCCAAACUUAAUAAUGUUAAACAUUCUAUAAUGUACAAGGGGCACCGGCCUAAUUGAGCAUAUAAAUAAGCAUUAUUUGUACUUUUCUUAACUCUUAAUUCAAUAAAUAAGAUAUAAA